UUACUCCCAUGUCACCCUCCCCCCACGCACAGGCCUGUUACAGCCGGAGGGACGCACAGCCUACUGCGGAGGGUCUGCUGGGGGAGCCCACACCGCCCCUCCCCCGCACACGCACAGAGGUCUUCCUGAAGAGCUCGGCGUACCCACAGUCGGAGAAGAGUCGUUUUCAGAGGCUCUGUCGAACAUGUAAUCCUCAUGCAAGUAUUUCUAUAAUUAUCCUGUUUCCGUUAUAACACUGUUUCAGGAACAAUGGCACUUUUAUUCUAUUGCCAUGUCGGUAUAAUGGAUGUUUUAUUACAGAAGAUUAUGGGAGAGUCGCUUUUAUGAUUCCGAAGUUUUCAUUGCAAAUUGCUCCUAGGCCGGAAAUUCUUUCUCCUGAGUAGUUUUUAGUUUGAUGCUGUUUUGGGGUUUUGGGGGGGCGGCACUGUUGAACUUGGGUCUGUGAGACUUUGCCCAACGAGAGUGUUUCCUUCGCUCCAUGCACCCUGUGGCUGGGCCCGCCCCCUGGUGUUUGUUCACAUGUUUUUGGCACGUGGCAAACACAGCUUUUUAAAAGUCAGUCUGGAUUGUUCUCUCCGAAUCUGCAUGCAGCAGUCUGCUCAGUGGCCGUAACAACAACCACGGAUCUCGGGGUCAGACGACCGACGAUUGGUCGGGGUUUCGGAGGCUGGGCGUGGAGAUCAGCCUGCUGACGGUGCCGGGUCCCACCCCGAGGCCUCUCUCCUGGUCUGCGGACGCUGCUGUGUCGUCCUUCCCGUGUGCGAGGGGAGCAGUGAAGGCAGGCCUUCAGCCCGUGAAUUUGGGGGGCGCAUGAUGCAGUCCCUGGCACUGCAUAACUUUUAUGACCUUUGCUGGAGAAAGUUCCAGAGCACCUGCAGUCCCUGAAGUUGGUGACCUUCAUUUAAGAAGUCAGUAGUAGCAGAGUGACAACAGAGAACUUGAACCUUCAUGCACAGUCUGAUGAAGUCCCAUCCCAUUUCGGAUGGCAGACCCCCCCCCCCCCGGGUGGAGGGGGGACGUGGGGGCUGGGGUUGUUCUUGGUUGAUGCACUGGCCUCAGAGCCCCGGCCGAGGUGGGCCCAGCCGGGCCUUUCAUUGCGGCCUUCCGUUCUCUCCACCUACAGAAGCACAGACCUGUCUACAAGACAGAGAAAAGGCCCAUCUUGAGUGAGCCUCCUUCCAGGUCUGUCGGUGCAGGACCCAACGCCGUGUCCCCCGAUGGUCCACGCCUCGGGAGGCCCGGGGCGGCUUUCGGAGGCCGCCCGCUCCAGAAGAUGGCUUCUGGGGGAGGUGGGCCGGGACAGUGUCGCUACAGCCACGCAGGGAACGGGACAGGCGGGCUGAGGGGCGCCGUUCAAAGGACGUUUUGGAGUGAUUUGCAACACCUCGGACAGAAAUAUAAAACAACUUCUUUCACCCUCGGCAGAGUCUGGUGCUCAGUUCACACCUUUUUCAUUUUUUUAAUUCUUCCCAUCACUUCAAAUACAAAUUUCGCCCUUAUUACUUUCCUUUCCAAACUUCACUCAAAAUAGCGUCUUCUCACGCACACGCGAAUCACGGGGCGUGCACCGGCGUCGGGGCCAGAGGGGGCCUGAGCCGCCACCGCACCCGGCCGAAAGCCUGGUCCGCCGCAACGGCGCCUUUUACCGCAGGAGCCAUGUGGACAGUUCCCGACUCGCUCUGCGGUCACUUGGUGGAGGACCCACGAGGCCCGAAACGUGGUGCUUUAUUCCAGGCUCACGGGUGGCCCAGAUUCCUCCUGCCAACGCCUGUCGAGGACGUCUCCCUGGAGCACAAGCCGGGAGAGGAACUGCUCCUGGGCCCACUUCGCUCUGGCCCUGCGGUCCCCGCAACCUCCCCGCGCCCCGCCCCCAGCACCACGCGCGGAAUUUCGGUCUUGACGGCCGCGCUCCGGACGCGCGUGCGGAAGCUACCACUAGGGGGUGCUAGAGGUCAGGGAAUCCCGGACCGUGUCCCAGCGGAGCUCUGCGGUUUGAACGAUUGAAGCGUCCCACCUGGUGAGCGCUGCCCCCUGGGAAUCACCCACGGCCUUCGUUAGGUCUUCCCCGAUGCUGUUGUUCUGUGGCUGUCCCCUGUGAUGGCAUGGGAUCCCAGGACCCGCCACAGGCUCCGGGACCCAGGUCUGCAGGAAUGACACCAUGUAUCUGAAAUGCUUGGUGCCCUUUUGGGGCAGACAGGGGCAGACACCUCGCUCGUCUGUGUUUUUCAGGGAAGUUGGGUCUGGAGACACCAGCGUAACCUGGCUCUUCUCCCUAAGCUGAGGCUGGGGGAAAUAUGGGAGCUGAUGCAGCUCGUUUGCAAGUUGGUCUCAGGAACCAGGGACGGUGGUGGAGAGGGACAAGCCAGCACCAGCCUGGGUGUGCGGUCCAGGUGGGCGGGUCACUGACAAGGUGACGCCAGGCAGCUCAAGUCCGUGGGGACUUCCGGGACAUCUUGCCUGUCCCCCACCGCUGAGAGUCCCCGGCACAGGGUGUCCCUGGCCCCCCAGGCUGCGAGGACAGGGCACAUAGCCCCAUCCAGGGGGCGAGCGGGGUGGUCAGACUGCUCGGGGGGCCUCCUGUGGCAGAACAAGGCCAAAGAAGGGGGCACGGCAUGUGGAAGACACAUGCCUGCGGAGCUGGGCACCUCGCUUCAUCCGAAAAGGCCACUUCUUAUGAGAGACAGGUGUGCAGCUCGGAGGGCCCGGCCUCUGCCCUCCACGGUGCGUGGAGAUGCCUUGUGCCCCACAAAGCUGCCCCCGCUGCUCUCAGGCCGAUGGACACAGCAGCGGCCGGCCCGAUUGUCAGCCUCUGGUCCCCCGGCCUCUCACGGCCCGUGUGAUGGCCUGGCGGGCUCGUCAGCGCGGCACGAAAGGGCGGGCUCAGCCGGUUUCCAGCCUCCCUGCACCCCCACGCCGGCCCUGCACCCCUUUCCACUGCCAGGCUCCCUGCCCUGCGGACCUCUGUGGAUCUCGGGACGCCUCACAGCCGUGUCCCGGGUUUGGCAAGGCCCCGUGGGUAUGUGACCAAGGCCAUCGGAGUCCCCAGGCACCGAAAGUCACCACAGGUCCAUGGAGCAGGGGUGUCUCCUCCCUGAGGGACAGCCGGCCAGACGUCCUGAGCUCUGUGUCCACAGAAUGAACAGAAGUCAGAGCAGUGGAAAGAAUGAACCGCUGAAACAAACAAAUUUGCCCUCCACCUGUUUAUGGCACCUGUGUAUGAGGGAAGCCUUGCAAAGGCGGGGGUCUGUCGUUGGGCACGAGAACGGCAUCAGUUCCAGAGGGAUGACGGGGACACACUUUUCUGACUUAUGGUCAGAAACAGAACACAUGGCAGUGGCAGGACAUCAAGCGUCUGUGGACCCAUUUCGGACGACAGGACAGGCCGGGUCUGCCUCGGGCGGGCCUGGUGUCUGGACUUCAGACCCAAGUGGAUAAAGGGCCGGGCCGACGGGUGUUUGGGAGGAAAUCUAAUGCCUUUCUGUGGACUCUGCAAGUGACGUGUGUGGUGUAGGACCUCGGAGAGUGUCUGCGUGUGAGAAAGAAGCAGGAUUCACCAGCAGCCUGGCCCGUGGAGGUGGGCGGAGCUUACCUGGGCAGGUGAGGCUUGGCUACAGAAUCAGGUGCCCACCUGGUCCUGCCCCACCCCAGUCACCUGCUCGCUGCUGCCACCCUGUGCUCGGUCGGCCCCUUUCCUGCUUUUAGAUACUUGUCCCCCACCCCCGGGGAAGGGGCAGAGACUGGCGCCCUGGGAAGUGCUGGGUGUCGCUGUUCGAGGAGGCCACACGGAGCUGUGGGCUGUGGCGUCACCCCCACCGACACCCAGAGCCGCCCCGUGCUGACCCAGGUCAGUGGCAGCCCACAGACGCCCCUCCCCCCGGUUCCACAUUCCACGCAUCCCAGUGUCUCCAGGCUGAACCCCGUGUCCAGAGAGUGGCCGGGACCCAGGAGCGGUGUCCAAGCUCCCACAGAGGGUUGAACUGAAGCCGAACCCUCAUCCCCAGCAGCGCCCUCCCUCCCGGGCACCGGAGUCACUGCAGGACCAUGGCCGGCUUCUGGGUGCCGCACACUGAGAGGCCACACCCUGUCCUGGGGAGAGGAAGGGGCAGCCCUGCUGCUGGAACCUGGACCCAAUGAAAGCACAGCCUUAAAAAAUGCUGCCGCUUCGUACCCAGCAAGUUCACUCUGAGAUGGACCCCAAGGACCACGCGUCACGGCCUUUGCAGGGCUCGGGGUUGUGCACUGAACCCAGAGGUCACCGGGUUCGGUUCCUGGACAGGGUACACGCCCGGGAUGUGAGUUGAGCCUCCAUCUGGGACACAUUCGGGAGGCAG